UUGAUUUAAAUGUUCCUUUCCGAAGAAGAACGAAAGAAGCCGAAGAAAGAGCCAAUCAAGAAACUAAAACGUAAAAGUGUCAGAAGGGAGGCAACGGACACGCAUCUCAAAUCUCCAACGUACGCAGAACGGUUAGUUCUUUGUACAUAUUCUUACAUGUGGUUCGCAAGAAAGAGUGUGAUCUUGUAUAUACGAAUAUAUAUUACAUUGUACAACUUACAUUUUUAUUAUAUAGACAGAAUAUGUUAAUCAACCAUGAUCCAGUAAUGAAUACUACGUUUCAACGAACAAGCAGUAACGGACGUAAUUGGUGCACAUGUGUAAUUUUUCCAAUAUCUUGCAUCAGUUUCGUCUGGCCCUUCAGUAGCAGAUCCAUAUAGGAUUUUAUUAAGUUUUAACAAAGGAUCAUGAUAGGAAGGCAGUGGUAAUAAAUAAAUCUGAUACAAUUUGUAAAUGAUGCAAUGAUUUAUUGAUAGAGAUUUUGGUGAGUAUGUACUCUUUAGACGAUUGCAUGACACAUACGCAGUAGAGUAUAUACAGCAAGCUUUUUGUAUUCAAGACAGUCUCUGCAAUUCAAGAAAGUCAAAAUUACGGAACAUAAGUUAGGACCCCCUUUAUCACCUUAUUUCUUAUUUAAUAAACUUAUCAGUAUUGCAACAGAUCAAAUCCUGGAUUUUUAAACAAAAAUCUUUUACCAUUUAUUUCAAAUUAUUUCUCCACAAGCAUCAGACAUUCGUUCCAGCUCUUCAGUAAUAUCAGCAACUAAUUUCACUGAUUCAUACAAUAGGAAUCCUUUUGUUUCUAAUUUUGCUAUGGUAACUGGCAAUCUCCAGUAAUUAGUUGUAACAUAAUUUAAUUCAUCAAAUAACGUUUCAUUUUUUAUCAUUUCUUGAGCUAAUCUAAUGCUACUUACAUUUCUCUCAUUGAAUAAUAACCUGGAAAUAAAUAAUAAAUAACCUGAAUGUCUUAUUCUGUUUAAGUAAUACGUGCAUGUAUUAUAAAACAAUAGUGACUUCUCUUAUAUUGUGCACAUGCUCUGCAUAAAAUAUUGCCUCUUCUAGCCACGUUCCCCAUCUUGUUAAAAUAGGUUUCAGUGGCAAUGGAACAUUUGGUAGCUUUUCUUUAUAGCAUUCAAUAUGAUGCAGCGCCUUCAACAAUGCUUGUUUUAUGGAAGCUAUUAAUUGGUUAACUACUGUAACAAUUUCAAUUUCAUCUUUCUUGUCCACUUCGCCGUUUUUCUCAAGAUUGAAUAAUAUGAUAAA